CACCCACCAGGCUGGUCCCAGUAUAACACAGGUACUAAUGGGAGCACAGUAAUAAACAAACAAAAUCCCAGCCCCACCGGCUGUAAUGCGUUCCCUGCCCGCUAGGCAGUCAAGCAAACUUAAAAUCCCAGCCCCACCGGCUGUAAUGCGUUCCCUGCCCGCUAGGCAGUCAAGCUAACAUAUAAAAUGCGUUCCCUGCCCGCUAGGCAGCCAAGCUAACAUAUUAAAUGCGUUCCCUGACCGCUAGGCAGUCAAGCUAACAUAUAAAACCCAGCCCCACCGGCUGUAAUGCGUUCCCUGCCCGCUAGGCAGUCAAGCUAACAUAUAAAAUGCGUUCCCUGCCCGCUAGGCAGUCAAGCUAACAUAUAAAACCCAGCCCCACCGGCUGUAAUGCGUUCCCUGCCCGCUAGGCAGUCAAGCUAUUGUCUUUUAAAAAGGGGGAAAACACACACUCCGGCCGUCACACACAUUCAAACAAAUACAGGAGGCAGAUAGACAAUCGACAGGUUCACUUUAAAAGGGUACCCCGGAUGAGCUAAAUACCUGUCUCUAGUAGCCUUCUGGAAGACGGAAGUGGACUCGGAGACAGACCGACACAAAACAGGAGAAUAACACAGGCAACGGCUGUAUUAUGGAGGUGAUCAGGCUCCGCUUGUCCCAUUUUCUGGGGGUCCGCUCCGGUCCUUGGUAUCCGGCCCUCCGAACCGGCAAAUCCGGGGGCCCCACGUUAUGGGCGCCAAUUGAAAUGGAAAAAUCAAUUAAAGUAUUGAUUAUUUCUUUGUGUAUCUGCCCCUGGCCAAAUCAAUGAAACAAUGCGUGCACGCUCCCUGAAGUAAUUCACACCAGACACAGGUUCUAGGUUGUUGAAUAACU